CCCUCAAACGUCGACAAAUCUGAGUGGACGAGCUCUGGCCCGCGGCAGCCCCGCAAGCGUCACCUCACCAGGCCCUCAGUGCCCUCACCACUCUCUUGGAGCAACCAAUGGCCGGCCGGCAAUUGAAAUGGCAACCCUUGCUUUUCUCAUGAUUGGUUUACAGGGACUACCUGAGGAAUAACGUGGGGGCGUCAUGAACUCUCUCUCUCCCUUACCCGUACGAUCCGCUCGCGCGUUAAAAGGGGGGCUCCUGAGCAUCGCGACUCAGGAGCUCUUACUGGCUCUCCAGCCCUCACCCCCUGGCCUUGUCCACGGCAUCGCGACCUGGCAUACCAGCGGUGGCUGAGCUUGCUCGAGGGCCGGGACCUGAGGACGUAGAGCACGAAGGAGAGUGCAGAGAAGGGAGGAGAAGCUCACGAAGGCUUGACCCAGCAACAUCUCUGCUGCCGACGCGCAAGUCUGGCACCUCGCAAAGGAACGGCUCCAUGCUUUCGAGAUAAGUCUCGCUCCUGGAAUAGCUAAUCGAUGUGACGCCAAACCCCCACCUAAUGUGGCUCUGUGGCGGCAACGUUGCCUUCCUUUCUCGCCUUUCAACGACUGCUUGAGCGCUAAAGGGGACCUCCUGAGCAUUGCACCUCAGGGGCUCUUACUGGACCUCGGGCCGCUCACCUCCUGGCCUUGACCACGGCAUCACAACCUGGCAUACCAGUGACGGCUGAAGCCUGCCUGGGGACCGGGACCUGUCAGCGUGGAGCACCAAGUCGUCGCGAGGUUAGGAAGGAGGAACCAAGCCGAGACAGGACAGGCAUUUUGCCCCACUUCAUAAUAAGGAUGAUAUCAACAAAAGACAUUGCAGAUGCUUUAAAUUCCCCCACGGGGUAUCUCCUCGAUUCUUCGCAGGGAACAAAAGAUGCGAAUCUUAAGGAGUCCUAACUACACGCGCUCUCAUGGCCGACGCCAUCAUCAACAGUGGGCCACGAGGGCCGGUGCCAACCCCAUCUAGAUCAGCUACGGCGACGGCCUGACGCAGCCGCCUUGCUCCGAGCGUGACGCGAGCUCGAGGGCUCGUAGCUGUCGUUGCUCGUCUCCAGAGUCACGAAGAGCUCGGGAGAGCCGCUGGACUCCCAAGCAUCUCCGCUGCUGCCAGAGGAGACGCUGGGGAAGCGGGCGGCAGGCCUAGCCCUUGCCGCAUCAAUGCCCUGUCUGCCUCCUCUAGGGGAGCACUCCAGCCGCCGGCCUUCUGCAUCGAAGACCUUGAAGAGCAUUAGGGAGGCACCAUCCUAUUCGAAGUGAAUCAUGAGGGCACCUCCUGUUCGGCAGACCCGAGUGAUCUCGCCCCAGUCCCGGGUCAUGUAGACCUUGCCCGGAGCGAUGACUUCAACCUCCGCUCCGGUCGCCGGGGCACCGCAGUCGGUGUGCUGCAGCCAGAGCUCGAGAGGCCCCCUCGAUGGCAUCUCGAAGGUGAAGAAAGGAGGAAAGCGUAUCCAAGAGCUUGGAGGCACGGCAGCGUGGAGAACGAGCUCGCGAGAGGAGUCCGCGGUGUGGACUCCAGGAGCAACGACGCGCACCACCGUGACUCGUCGUUGUCGCCGACGGCGCGGGCGGCGCCGCUCGGCAUCUUCUUCUCUAGGGCCCUCAGCCCGGGCGUACAGAGGGAGCGGAAACCUAGGAGGUGGCCGCUCGUACCAAGGCCUCGACAUCUCUGGCCGAGCGACCUCGUCACGGCGGCCGGGGACCGGCCGUUCCUUUGGUGGGAGCGGGUCAGGCCCCUCCCGGGGGGCCUUUCCUUUCUCCUCGGCUGAGAAUCGAUGGAUCGGUGCCAUUGGUUGCAAGAUGGAGGAGGAGCGAGGAAGAAGAAGCGAGCGAAGCGAGAAGAGAUGGACUGAGGGGGCUCGCGCCUCUCCAUACUUAUAGUCCAGAGGAGGCCAACCAUCGGCCUCCACGAUCGCAGGUAAUCAUGACUCUUUUUGCAUGCAGCAGGGACUCAUCAAAUCGGCAGUUGCCGAGGCAGCAUGGGGAAGUGGAGACGCCCACGUCCAAUCAACCGCCACGCGGCAACCAAGGCUGCAGGUUGUUGGGGCCCACGGCGCUCCGCACUUGCCCUUUCACUUCACUCCUAAGCCAAGUCCGAGCAUGCCUUGGGCCCGGGGGCUACUGUCGGCGUUCUGGGAAUGGGGGUCCCCAGACUUGCCUACCUGCGGCCUGUGGCGUGGUUCAAGGGGUGGCCCAGUAUGGCCCGUCUUCAUCGAGCCAAGCUCAAGACCCUCGCGAGGGGCCAAGCCUCGCGGGGCGGAUGACGCAAGGCUUCCUCAGGGGCGGCCUCACAAGGCAGGCUCGCGAGGAGCGGAGAGAUCAAGGCAGGGGUACCUCGCGAGGUGCUCAUGACGCAAGCCAUGACGAUCAAGACUAGGCGGGCGCCAGGCGGGCGCCAGCCUGUGCAAUGUCCUCGUUUCCUCUUUGGUGCAAAGGGGGCAAGCGCAGGCGCGGAAUACCGAGGCAUCAAGCAAAGGUUACCAUAUUGGUGCAAUGAGACCAAGACCAACAGAGCGGCAGGACGGAGGUCACCAUGGAGCCCAAGACGGCGACAUCACCAGUGCCUUUGGCAGUCGAAGACCAACUUUAGUCAGGAUAACUUCUACUAGAUGUUCCCCUUCAAAAUGGUUGUUGUUGGCUCCCUUCCCGCUCAAUAUUUGGGGAGAGGACCAGGGCCUCUAUAUAUAGGGAUAGCCACCACAGUAGCGGGGCGUAUCAUCCAGAGACGAUCGAAUCCACCCAAGUAGAACACCACGCCAGCUCAAGAACACCUCUCGCGAGGUUGUUCUUCCUCUGUACUGUUCAUCAUCAGCCCCAGAGGCAAUCCACCACACCACAAACUAGAGUAGGGUAUUACACCACAACGGUGGCCCGAACUAGUAUAAACCUUGUGUCCCUUGUGUUUUUCAUCGUGUAGCUUAGAUUCACGGCGAGGCGUUGGGACGUGGAUCGGUAGGGGGAAGAUCUUUGCGCGCACCCCAGAGUUCGAACAUUAAGGGUUUUGCCUGAACCCGAUAUCCGACAACAUCAUCAUCAAUAAAUUCCAACAUAUCAGGAUUAACAACAUGUGGUGUUGUUGCAAGUCUACUCAUAACAGAAGGUGAAUCGAUUGCAGAGCUAGAUGGCAGUUCCUUACCUCCCCUCAUCUUAGAGGGAAAUAUCUUAGUCUUGGUAUCCUUCAGAUUCUUCAUAGCGAUAAUUUGAUAAUAAUCCCAAGUGACUCAACAAAUAUAGCUAUGCUCCCCGGCAACGACGCUAGAAAAAGGUCUUGAUAACCCACAAGUAUAGGGGAUCGCAACAAUUUUCGAGGGUAGAGUGUUCAACCCAAAUUUAUUGAUUCGACACAAGGGGAGCCAAAGAAUAUUUGCAAGUAUUAGCAGCUGAAUUGUCAAUUCAACCACACCUGGAGAUUAAUUAUCUGUAGCAAAGUGAUCAGUAGCAAAGUAGUAUGAUAGUUUUGAUAGCAGCAGUAACAGUAACAGUAGCCUUAACAAUGAUAGCAAUGAUUUUAUAGCAAGUGUAACAGUAACAGUAGCAAUAGUAACUUAGCAUGAACAAUAUAAGAGAAAUUCGUAGGCAUUGGAUCGAUGAAUUUGUUGGAUGAUAUUCAUCAUAUAACAGUCAUAACCUAGGGCGAUACGACACUAGCUCCAGUUCAUAAAUAUAAUGUAGGCAUGUAUUCUACAAAUAGUCAAUACGUGCUUAUGGAAAGAACUUGCAUGACAUCUUUUAUCCUGCCCUCCCGUGGCAGCGGGGUCCAUAUGGAAACUAAGGGAUAUUAAGGUCUCCGUUUAAUAGAAAACCGGAACAAAGCAUUAACACAUAGUGAAUACAUGAACUCCUCAAACUACAGUGCUCACCGAAAAGUAUCCCAACUUCUAUCACUCCGGGGUUUAUGGAUCAUAACACGUAAUAGGUGACUAUAACUUGCAAGAUCGGAUCUAGAACAUAGAUAUAAUGGUGAUAACAUAAACGGUUUAGAUUUGAAAUCAUGGCAGCCGGGCCCAAGUGACAAGCAUUAAGCAUGGCAAAGUCAUAGCAACAUCAAUCUAAGAACAUAAUGGAUACUAGGGAUCAAGCCCUAACAAAACUAACUCGAUUACGUGAUGAAUAUCAUCCAAAUCCUCACCGACCAGCGAGCCUACAAAGGAAUUACUAACUCCCGGUGGGGAGCAUCAUGGAAUUGGCGAUGGAGAAGGGUUUGUGAUGACGAAGAUCAAAGAUCCCCUCUCUAGAGCCCCAAACGGACUCCAGAUCUGGCCUCUCGAUGAAGAACAAGAGGUGGCGGCAGCUCCAUCUCGUGAAAUGCUUUCUCCCUCAUUUUUUCUAUGAAAAUGUGAAUUUAUAGCGUUGGAGAUAGGGUCAGCGGGGCCACCAGGUGGGGACAGCCCACCUGGGCGCGCCAGGAGGGGGCGCACCCUGGUAGGUUGUGCCCACCAGGGGCCCCCUCCCGUGGUUCUUGGCUCUAGUAAUUCUCUUUUAUUAUAUACAAAAUCCUCACAAAGUUUCGUUCAAAUCUGAGAACUUUUAUUUUUGCACAAAAAACAACACCAUGAUAGUUAUGCUGAAAACAGCGUCAGUAUGGGUUAGUUUCAUCCAAUCAUGCAAAUUAGAGUCUAAAACAAGAUGAAAAGCGUUAGGAAAAGUAGAUACGACAGAGACGCAUCAGUGCUCUAGGUCGGCGUGAAUGUGGCGCGGUAAGAGGCGGGUGCAUCAGAAUGAAAUCGCAGGAGGGGCGGGUGGGGUUUGGGUGGGCUAGGGCGGUCAGAAGCGGGAGUGGCAGAGGUCUGGACACCCCAAAGCCCCCAAGUUUGUCUUCGGGUAGCGGGAGAAAACAUGUCUGGACCGCCCUGCGGACUGAUACAGGCCCGCAUUGGAUGGCUUCCGCGGUCCGAAUGUAUGCGGGUGGUUUGCGGGUCGCCGUUGGAGAUGCCCUAAGGGAGAUAGGCAAGAACAUAAAAUAUUUCAUACAGAAGAAAGGCAAACGUUUGCACUCAGUCGACUAGACGAGUUUCAGCCAGACACGUCACGGGGACCAGACAAGACGCUCUUUUUGCUGCAACUCUAGGGGGCGUGUGCUGGAACCGGCAAUGCGGUGUGUUGGCACCACUGGCAAAAUUUGCUGGAACUGGCUACAAAAAAUGUUGCACACCUGACAGCACACCAUGCAUCCCUCGGCGACUUUUUAUGGCUCCAUCAAAGAAAUACUCUUCCGUGCAUUCCUGACAAGCAAGUGUUUCUAGAAUAAAUAAAACUGAGUGCUGCAAAGUUAUUUUAUCUAGUAGCUCAAAAACUUUGUGUUGAUUAUUUUUGCUUCACUAACACUUGCGUAAUAACAGUGCCACCGCUACAACUAUACUAAGUUUUCAGGUCAAGAAGCAGAGGGCUAUCUAAGCAUACCAAUAGUAAGUGAACCAAAACCUUCUCAUUAUUUUGGUUUAAACAAUUGAGUUCCUUAUGCUUCAGAUUUCUCUCUAUUUUUCUCGAGGGCGAUCAAGUUUAAACUUGGGGAGUUGAUGAGUGAUACUUUCACGCUUAUUUACCCUUUGUUUAAACCGAGAUAUUUCAUUAAAACCAAGAUAUUCACUCUGAUAUUGCUAGUAAUUAAUGACUAAUGAAUGCAAAGGAUUCUACAAAUCCUCUCUUUGAUGUGUUUCCAUAGGAAAUGGGCUAAAAAGAAAAGAAAUCAUGUGUGGACAUGAAAAGGGCUGGAAGAGGAGAUAGAAGAAAUAAGGAGGAGGCCCACCAGAAGAAACAGAGUAAAGACGACGUUCCUUACGACCGCGACUACCCGCAUGAGCAGUCGUAUAGUGUGGAUUCCGAGGCUCCUCGUCCACCUAAACAACUUUUAUAAAGGGGACCACGCUGAAAUGUCAAUAGAACGUCCGCGGGCGAAGCCACAACAGAGCCAUCUUCAUGCCCUUCAUCGACCCUAGCCAUCGGCAUUUCCCAUCUUCAUAGCCACCAUAACCACCAUAGUCCAUAUACCUCUAGUUCAUACUUGUAAUCGUGUAUCGCACAAGGCAUCCAUUGUAAGACAUAUUAUCAAUCAAUCAAUCUUCAAGAUGUGUUCUCCAAUGAGUUCUUCAUGAGAUCUGAUCUCCAUGUGUGAGUAGUUCGGUAAGGUAUGGGUUGAGGCAUAGGUCUUGCAACCCUCUUUAUUUGUUUUGGGGAUCAACGAAAGUGCUUUGAAUUAAUGUCUUGUAUGUGUGAAAUAAAAUUGUUCUCUAGAUGUCUCUUGUCUCAUCCACGUUCUUCAUCCCUGUAGGUACCGGGAUCAUGGAAAGCGAGCCACGGAGAGGCUAAGGGCAGGAAGAACGUGAAGUGUUAUUCUUAACACUAGUGACAGAAGGGUUUAAUAUGGUAACACGAAUCCAAUCAAUGGGGAUUCAUAGGUGUAGUUAUUAAACACCCAAAGCUCUUAUCUGAUUAUUAUAAUCUUAAUUAUUGAGGCAGCCAUUUGUGUCAGAUAGGGCCUUUGGUUGGACAACUGAUUCUUGAUGCAAGACACGUGCCGGUCAAGAAGUUAUUAGGACACAUCCUCCACUUCGGUUUAUAACAAACACAUCUCGGUAGGUGACUACUGGUGCACAAAUUAAGAUCAUAUUUGAAAGUGCUAGUUAUCGACUAGAGGGGGGUGAAUAGGCAAUUUUUAUGAAAGUCUUCAAAACAUGGUAGCUUUGAAGACAAACAAGUACACAUAACCUAUAUAGUAAGCAGCAGAAUGAAGACUACACUAGGCAAGCAUUAGUCAGGCAUACAAUACAGUGAAAGCACGAAGACUAACUACAACUAGGUAGACAGGAUCAAUAUGGAAGAUAGUACGAAGCUAAACAGAUAUAAGUCUUCACAUAAUGAAGUCAAACAAAUCAGGCGGGCAAGCAAUGACUUCACGAAGACAAACUGAAAAGUAAGGAGAGUAGGGGAUAGAACCAGUUGCUUGGUGAAGACAAGGAUUUGGUAGACCAGUUCCAGUUGUUGUGACAACUGUACGUCCGGUUAGGGAGGCUGAGAUUGAACUCAGAAGACUGUGUCUUCACCUUAUUCCCCUUGAGCUAAGGACACCAAGUCCUCGCCCAAUCACUCUGAUAAGUCUUCGAGGUAGACUUCCAAACCUUCACAGACUUUGUUCACCGGCAAUCCACAAUGACUCUUGGAUGCUCAGAACGCGUCGCCUAACUGACUGGAGGAUUCACAUCCCUCAAGUGUAACAAGUCUUUAGAUCACUCGGACAGAAAGACUUCAGUGAUGCCUAACACUCUUUGGCUCUGAAUGUUUUGGGCUUAGUCCUCGCAAGGAUCUCUCUCUCUCUCUCUCUCUCUCAAAUGCUUCGGAGGUGGGUUGCUCUCAAGCGACAAAAGCCGUGCACUAACUCUGAGCAGCCACCAAUUUAUGGUGUUGGGGGUGGGAUAUUUAUAGCCAGGAGGCAACCUGACCUGAUAUGUUCGAAAUGACCCUGGGUCACUAAGGAACUGACACGUGUCCAAUGGUCAGAUUUCAAACUCACGCGGCAGCUUGGCUUGAGCUACAAGCAAAGCUGACUCAUCUAGCUCUGGAUAAGGUUUGCUCUCAUUGUGUUCGCUCCAAGACAUAGGAUUUGGUUGAGAAUCACUUCAGUCACUCUGACUUUGUUCACUUGGACCCCACUUAACAAUACGGUGGUUCAUAUGACUCAAUAAAGAAGAAAGGAAACUACGAAACAGCUAUGUCUUUGCACUCCAUAGUCUUCAAAUGAAUAUCUUCACAUGUCAUAAUCUUCGUCGAGAAUGUCUUCACGAACCACCAUUGUCUUCAAUGUCUUCACACAUUUUUAGGGGUCAUCUCCGGUAGGUAAACCGAAUCAGUGAGGGACUACUUCCUGUGUUAUCCUGCAAUUCUCACAAACACAUUAGUCCCUCAACCACGUUUGUCGUUAAUACUCCAAAACCAACUAGGUGUGGCACUAGAUGCACUUACAAUCCCCCCUUUUUGGUGAUUGAUGACAAACUGGUUGAAGUUUUCAAUGGGGAUAAAAGUAUGUGAAAGUUUAGUUUUGUGAGCAUUGUCUUCAUACAUAAAAAGAGGCUCCUCCUGAAGAUGUGCAUAUAAGUAGUUUUCUUUUGAAUGCAAAUGCACAUGGAAGGUUUUGCUUUGUGGAGGCCUUCUUCAAAGUGUGAAGACAAUUCAUCAUGCAUAUAUGAAGGUAAUGAAGAUAAUGAUAUGCAUAAUGGAAAAUGGACGUAUGCAGAAUGACUUCAUGCGGAAUUUAUCAUCGCAUCACAAAGUGGUAGCAAGAGUAGCAGACGACCAUCAGGUUCAAGUGUUACAACUCAAAAGCCAAAAGUUUCAAAACGAGAGUUGUAAGAACUUAGCAAAAAUAAAGCAACCACCCACAUGGACCCGCUUGAAGACUAUCAACUCAUAUGCUUCUCCCUCUUUCGUCAGUAAUGAACAAAAAGGUUUGAAGACAUAGAGUAUCUACUCGUUCCCAGCUGGAGUAGAGAAUGGAGCAGGGUCGAUGUUGGAGUUUGGUGGUGCAGACGGGCCUGGCGCAGCAUCGUGAUGUAGUGAAGUUAAUGCUGGGGAAGUGGCAUCAUCUUCCUCAAAAUGCAAGUUGGCGUCACACACCCUCCAUUGAAGAUUCUGAGUGCUAAUCUUUGGCUACAACUGUUGUUGCGAGAGUCAUCGAUGAAGAAGAUGACGCCACUUCCCCAUCAUUAACUUCACUACAUCACGAUGCUGCGCUAGGCCCAUCUGCACCACCAAACUCCAACGUCGACUGUGCUCCAUUCUCUACUCCAGCUGGGAAUGAGUAGAUACUCUAUGUCUUCAAACCUUUUUGGUCAUUACUGACAAAAGGGGGAGAAGCAUAUGAUUUUAUAGUCUUUCAAGCAGACGACCAUCGGGUUUAAGUGUUACAACUCAAAAGCCAAAAGUUUCAAAACGAGAGUUGUAAGAACUUAGCAAAAAUAAAGCAACCAACCAUAUGGACCCGCUUGAAGACUAUCAACUCAUAUGCUUCUCCCACUUUUGUCAGUAAUGACCAAAAAGGUUCAAAGACAUAGAAUAUCUACUCAUUCCCAGCUGGAGUAGAGAAUGGAGCAGGGUUGACGUUGGAGUUUGGUGGUGCAGACGGGCCUGGUGCAGCAUCAUGAUGUAGUGAAGUUAAUGCUGGGGAAGUGGCAUCAUCUUCUUCAUCGACGGCUAUCGCAACAACAGUUGUAGCCGAAGAUGAGCACUCAAAAUCUUCAAUGGAGGGUGUACGACACCAACUUGCAUUUUGAGGAGGCCUGGAGUCAAACUUGAAGUUCUCGGUGAAGCCAUCCUCGCGAAGAUCAUCUUCAGCACAGAGAAAGGUGAGGCUCUUCCAGGACCGCCGACAGGCUUCAUGGGCCACAAAUGAGUUCUUGGUGGCCAAGUUGCAAAUUCGAUUGACAUCCACCAAGAUACUUUGCAUCUGACGCUUCAGCUAGUCAUGAUGCUUGUCCUGCUUUUGAUGUAAAUCCACCAGAAGCUCCUGGUCAUUGAGAACACGAGGACGCUUCUGAGGCCUUUGAGCUAUUGUGCUUGCAGUGGCUUCAGUAUUGGCACGGUGCGGUACGCGCAGGUUGCCAUCCAAAGGAUAAGCAGGAGUUGCAGCAUUGGGCACAUGAAUACCUUCAAUGGGUUGUGUGAAGCUCUGGAAUUCGGCAUUCUGAAGGUGGAGGGGCUUCUUGGUAGGCUCGGGGUAGAUGGCUUCAAUAGACAUAUCAACUUUAGGCAGAAAGACAAUAUGGUUGCAUGCUGAAGGCUGAUAGUCAAUUGUUGAACGAAGCUUAAUCAAGCGCAUCACCCAUGGAGCAUAGAAUUUCAGACCAGACAGAUCAAUCCCACAAGCAGCAAGUUGUCUAAUGAAGAAAUUCUGAGUGUUGAAUGCGAUGCUAUUGAUGAUAUAGAAUACCAAAGUGUUCAUGGCACCUACAAGUUUGGCUCCAGAAGAAUUUCCUUUGAUAGGCCAGAGAGUACGCUUCAAAAUAUGGUACACUAUGCGCGGCAAGUACUUAAGGUCCUUGAUAAAGAACUCCUUUGGGUAUUCAGCGUCUUGGGGUAAUGGCUUCAUCAUGCUAAGCAUUUGGCUCAUACUUGGCUCUGGCAUCUGAAAGAUGCACUGCAGCUCAUUCUGAUGAAGCUGACAACCAGGUUCGUAUAACUCACCUCGAGCGGGCAGGGAAGUAAGCUCGUAUCCUGAGCUUUGGCUUCGUGAUGUACAUCACCUGUCAUCCACUCAAGGAUCCAAGUCUUCGGAUCCCUGUUGUGGCCUCAAAUGUGUAGAGUGGCAUAAAACUGCAGUAGAAGCUCUUCAUUCCAGUGUUCCUUAUCAGUCACAAAAGCCAGAAUACCAACAUCCCGAAAGCAGUCAAGGGCCUCUUCAAGACAUGGCAGACCAGCCAUAGCAUCACAAUCCAGACGUUUGUGCGGAAAGAUCCGGUCUUGGUUGUACAGGAUGCAAGAGUAAUAGCUUCAUUGUUGAUGGCUCCAAAAUCUAUUAGAGGAGAUCUUUGGCUUCGUGUACCUGUUCUUGGAGUUGUCGAGAAAGAUUGUGCUAUGUGAAGCUGAGUAUGCUGAAUGAGCCUUGUGUUGUGACAGCACUUGGAAGCCUUGGCAGGCGUGGAUUUGGCUUCUGAACUUGAGGCCUCUGCUCCACAUGAUAAUAAUACUAGGGUGCUGUAGCAGUAGGUGGAACCAUAAUUGGCCAUCUGACAGUGACAAGCUGACCUUCACGAUUGAAAGCCCUUUCCAUGGUAUGAGGAGGUGGUGGAGGAACAGCGCCAUCUCAGGUGAUUGGCGUCACGGUGACUUCAGCAUUCACAUUUGCUUCAGGCUCCACAUUGUCUUCAGCCAUGAUAGGGUCAUUGGCUUCAGUAGCGUUGUUGGUGGCAGCCUGAGUGUUUUCAACCUCCAUCUGUUCAACAACUAGAGGAUCGGGAAUGAUCACAUUCUCUUCAAGAAUGACCUGGUCAUUAGCAGGGGGUGUGGCUUCUUGGUCCUCUUGGACACACGAGACUGAUCUUCAGAUUGCACACUGGAUUCAGGAGGUGCAGUUUUCAGAGGCUUCUUCGUCGAAGCUUUUGGAGCAGCAGCAGCAGAGGGCUUUGAAGCUUUUGCCUUUUUCUUCUGCUUCAGCAGCGAGGGAGCAUCUUCAGAGUCUGCGUCUUCAGCAGAUUGCUCCACUGCAGCCCUCUGGACAGCAAUGUGGGACAGAAGCCCAUCAAAGUUGGUAAAGUGGCCAAUUAUGUUCUCAUUGGCUUCAUGAGUACCAUCUGAUCUAGGAGCAGAUGGGUCAGGGUUGAAGUCGAGGCCAAACUCCUUCUUGUUCUUGACAGCUGAAUCCUUUGCGAACUGAAGGUUGCGCUUGAAGAGGUUAUCGUCACGACACCAUAAAAGAGAUGAUGGGUCGGCAUUCUCAGGCUGUGGUCCUCGGACCAUGCAAGGAUAGAACUCCUGAGCAAUAGCUUCAGCCUUUGUCUUCGGUAGCAAAUUUCUGUACAGACAAUCGCCCCAUGGGUGCUUGAUGGUAUUCUUCUUAGCAUACUCAGGUGUCACAAAGUUGUACGUGAACCAUUGCUCUGCCCAAUAUCUUCGGAUCCAUUGGAUCCUGUUCUUGUGUUGUGUAUAGCUCUCUUUAGGGUCAGACUUGUAGAGCUCAUACAAUUCUGAGGGCAGGUCUAGUGUUGUAUUGCCUCGGUGUUGCCUGCCACCUUUCCAUGCAGACUUCUCAGAAGCCAUAAUAUUCAGAAAUAUAGGCUUCAGAACAGUGAAAGGCUUCCGUCUACUGGUCAAACAGGAGCUGGCUACAGGAGAUUCAAUGUGACGCUGUAAGAAUUCUGUAAAUGAAUGCAGACAAUGAGAACCAAGGGAUUCUCCCACGGACAUGUACAUGUGACAGCAUUAGAGAUGCGAGGGAAGGGGAAGAGGUCAUAUGCAUUCUCAGAAGUUUUGAAGAUAAAUUAGUUAGAAGACAUUGACCUCACAGUGCGAAGACAUUCACUUAUUGAAGGAAGUUGGCUCCAGAUUUGUAAGAAUCCAAGAGUAGGUACAAGUGAGGUAUCUAACUAGUUAUGAAGCAUAAGUGAACAUACUUUGCAAUAUACGAGAUUCAGAAAAAGACAUAUCCAGAUUUGAAGAUGUAGAAACCACUUUUGGUAGAAGUGGAUGGAUUUGACAAAUCAAAAAGACUGUAAAAAGUGAGAUUUAAUUACCACACACAAACUGCUAGAUGAGGCAGAUGGAAGGCCGAGCAGUCCAAUCUCCCGCGCCCUAACUUGGCGGCGGAAGACACCUACGGCAGCGGCGGAGAAGACGAGGUCCGCAGCCGGCGUGAGGACGGCGUCGAAGAGGUCACGGCAGCUAAGCACUUCGUCUCCGGCGUCGACAUGAGCUAGCGGUGGUGCUAGGGUUUGAGCGAGAUGGCGAGGUGGAAGAAGGAAAUAAUGACCGCGAGGGGGCACGUAUUUAUAAGAAGGAGGAGGGCAGCGCAGCGCAAUUAUGUAGGUGCCCCUGGCGGUUAACAUUUGAAGGACACGUGGCAUGCAUGCAACUUAUCAGGAGUUGAAUAAUGUUCCCACGCACGCCUGGAUUGUCGGGUGGUCAUUCCGGCAUCUCCGGUUUUCAGGCAAGGGAUAAGACAUUAAAAGCAGUUUUAAAAGAGUGUCUCUCUAUCUUCUGCUGACAAGGACACAGAGAAGAUAUUCGAUAAGUGUCAAUAGAAUGCAUAUGACUUAGACAGAAAGAAUUUGAGGGAGUAGCACAGAAGGGAUUUGGGUCCGGUCACAUUCACUUGUCAGAAAAAAAUAGCAUCGUCAAGACAUGGCUAUAAGUGAAUGUUGUAGAGGACAGAACACAUAUAUGUAGUAUUGAAGAUAAAUCAACGUUGCGAAGAUAUAGAUUUUGAAGAUAAAUCAAUGUUGAAGACAAUCCAAAUGCAAAGAUAAUGCAAUCAUGACGCCAACUGGAAAUCUUCAAGAAAUUGUGGUGGUGGCGUUACCCACCGUAUAGGAAGUAUUAGACCCAGACACGACGCACAAUUAUGGUGGCGCUCCGAAGUCAAAUUCCACAUUAAUGUAGUCACACUUAGAGGGUAAGUCUUCAUUGAUUGAAAAAAUACGUUACUUCAUGUGUGGCACAUCUAAGUCAUCAAUAUGCAUAAGCGUUAGGAUGUGUGUCCAUUCACUGGACAUUUGAGGAUUCUAAGAUAUUUAGCUCACACCACGGCUUGCAAAACCUCUUCUCAUCCAAGGACUUCGUGAAGAUAUCUGCCAGUUGCUCUUCGGUGUUGAUGUGAAUGAUAUCAUUGUCUUCCUUGUUGACAUGAUCUCUGCGAAAGUGAUGACGAAUCUCAAUGUGUUUUGUCUUCGAGUGUUGAACUAGAUCAUUGGAAAGCUUGAUGGCACUUUCAUUGUCGCAGAAGAGUGGCACAUUCUUCGUGUUGAUGCCGUAGUCCUUGAGAGUUUGCUUCAUCUAGAGAAGCUGAGCACAUCAAGAUCCAGCAGCAAUGUAUUCAGAUUCAGCAGUGGAGACGGAUACACAAUUCUGCUUCUUUGAAGACCAAUAGACAAGAGAUCGUCCAAGAAAGUGACAUGUGUCUGAUGUAGACUUGCGAUCGACCUUGUCACCAGCAUAAUCAGCAUCAGAAUAUCCAACUAGAUCAAACGAUGAGCUCUUUGGAUACCAUAAUCCUAGUGUUGGGGUGUGAGCCAAAUAUCGAAGAAUUCGCUUCACAGCAAGGUUCCUUUGGUGCCGCUUGGAAUCGGUCACACAUGCAAAUGCUAAGCAUAAUAUCAGGCCUAGAUGCACAUAAGUAUAGCAAAGAACCAAUCAUGGAGCGGUAUACCUUUUGAUCGAACUCUACCAUUGUCGUCAGGGCCAACAUGACUUUUGAUUGGCAUUGGCGUCGUGUACCCUUUGCAGUCUUGCAUUCCAAACUUUUUCAGGAAAUCUUUGAGGUAUUUUUCUUGCGAUGUGAAGAUGCCAUUGCCUGUUGACGGAUUUGAAGACCUAGGAAGAAUUUCAGCACCCUCAUCAUGGACAUCUGAUAUUGCUCUUGCAUCAUGUAUCCAAACUCAUCAUUGUAUCUCUUAUCCGUGCAGCCGAAGAUAAUGUCAUCCACAUAUAUUUAGCACACAAACAGUUCACCAUCAUAUGUCUUCGUGAAGAGAGUGGGAUCUAGAGAGCCAGGUUUGAAGCUUUUGCUCUUCAGCAAUUCUUUGAGUGUAUCAUACCAAGCGUGAGGUGCUUGUUUGAGGCCAUAUAGUGCCUUGUUGAGCUUGUACACCAUAUCAGGGUGCUUAGGAUCUUCAAAACCAGACGGUUGAGCGACAUACACUUCUUCUUUGAUUUUGCCGUUGAUAAAGGCACUCUUCACAUCCAUUUGGUACAGAAGAAUGUUGUGAUGGUUAGCAUAGGCCAACAGUAUGCGAAUGGCUUCAAGCCUAGCCACAUGAGCAAAGGUUUCAUUGAAGUCGAUUCCUUCCACUUGUGUGUAACCUUGAGCUACGAGGCGAGCCUUGUUUCUGACAACUUGUCCAAGUUCAUCUUGCUUUUUGCGAUAGAUCCCUUUAGUGCCAAUGAUGUUGUGCUUGUGAGGAUCAGGACGUUUGACAAGCUCCCAGACAUUAUUCAGCUCAAACUGUUGAAUCUCUUCUUGCAUAUCUUGAAUCCAUUCAGGUUCCAUGAAGGCUUCUUCAAAUUUCUUGGGUUCAGAUAUAGAGACAAAAGCAAAGUGACCGCAAAAGUUUGCUAGUUGUGUGAUCAAUAUAUCUAUUCAAUCUGGACUUCAUUUGCGGCUCGAGGAUGAGUUGGACGAAGAUUUUGAUUAGAUUGACUAUUGUCUUCAUCUUCAGCAUUGGCUUCAGACUGAGCAUUAUCUUCAUGUUGAUUAGGUGUAGAAAUGUUGAUCUCAUCCUCAGCCUGUUCCUCGGUGGGUAUGAUUCCUCGGUGGUGUAGCUUCAUCUAGCACAUUUGGCAGGUGCUUUCAAUCAGAAGUUCAUAAGAUGUUUUCUUGAAGAACUUGUGAAGAUAUACUCUGUUUAUGAUGUGGCAUGCAGUAUCAAUGGCUUCGGGCUAGAAUUUUCUUGGAGUCUUCUACUCAUCGAGCAUUGUCCGUGCCAUCUCAAUGAGUGUUUUGUUCUUGCGCUCCAGGAAGCCAUUCUGGUGAGGUGUGUAAGGAGCAGAGAACUCAUGUGUGAUGCCCAAAGUAUCAAGACAAGUGUCGAGGCCAAUGUUCUUGAACUCAGUGCCAUUGUCACUCCAUAUGUGCUUGAUUUUGAUGCCAUAAUUCGUCAUGGCCCGAUUUGUGAAGCGUCUGAAGACAUCCUGCACUUCAAUCUUAUAGAGAAUCAUGUGCACCUAGGUGUAUCUCGAGUAAUCAUCAACAAUAACGAAGCCAUAGAGAUGUGCAGUAGUAGUAAGGGUAGAGUAGUGAGUAGGGCCAAGUAGGUCCAUGUGAAGCAGCUCGAAGGGGCGUGAGGUAGUCAUGAUUGUCUUCGAGGGAUGCUUGGCUCUAGUCAUCUUCCCAGCUUCACAGCCACCACACAGAUGAUCCUUCUUGAACUUGACGCCCUCGAUGCCAAUGAUGUGCUUCUUCUUCGCGAGAGUGUACAGGUUCCUCAUGCCCGCAUGUCCUAGCCGUCGAUGCCAUAGCCAGCAUUCUGAAGCCUUUGCUAGAAGACAUACGGCAAGCUGUGGUCCUGUGAGAAAUCUACCAUAUACAGAUCACCUCUUUGAUAGCCUUCGAAGACUAGAGAUUUGUCAGAUUCCAUUAGCACAAGACAAGAUAUUUUCCAAAUAUCACAAUUAUGUUCAGAUCACAGAGGAUUGACAUGGACAUUAAGUUGUAUCCAAGGGAUUCAACUAGCAUCACUUUAUCCAUGUGCUGAUCCUUUGAAAUAGCAACUCUACCAAGACCCAGUACCUUGCUUUUACCAGUGUCAACGAAUGUGAUGUGGCUCUUAGUAUAUGGACGUAGGGUUGAAUCCAUCGGAAGACUUCGAUCGCCAUUCAUGUGGUUUCCAUUCAGUGCCUUCCGGAGUUGUGCCCUAUAGUGCAGUUAGCGGGAUAGGCUUCACCAAGAGUAUUGUGAAGCAGAAACAUGUAGCGAACAAGCAUAUUAUCAAAGUUUAAAUUCUGGUUAGGCAUGAUAGGAUGCUUGUCAAGGAACCCUAGGACGAAAUACAUGAUAAGACCAUUGGAGCAUUUUAUCUUGCGUCCCACAAAAUGUUUUAGGUCUCCAGCAUUUUCGUCAGAAGAUUUUGCUUUCCGGCUGGAGACCUUUCCCUGCAAGAGAAGCUAAUUCUUCUUAACCACCCACAUCUUCAGGGGUGGCUUAGAAGCAAUGAGUCUAAGUGCAGCAUCUGAGAACUUUGGCUUGGGAGCCCUAGCAAAUAGCUUCGCAGGAGGAGAAUAGUACUCAUAUGAAUAUGCAGAAAAGUUCUUAGUUUUGUGAACAUAGUCGUUAGAGGAAGCACGCUCAUAUUCAUGAGUCUCAUAAAGGUUCUCCUGCAAAACAUUGGCGUUAGGGUGACCAUGAGUUGUCCUCUAUAUGUAUGAAGCCUUAGGUCUGGGGUUUGUCUUCUUCCCAGGUGAUGUCAUGAUGACAUUCAUGGGAAGCUUCUCAAGACAGCUUUUGGGCACCCAGAUCUUCUUCUGGGGUGACCCGUUCCUAUAGUUAGUACUAAUGUACCUAGCAAACACUUCACCAUUCUGAAUCUUAAACAGUUUAUAAUUGGCAUCAAAAGAAUUAUCAAUGACAAUUGGGUUAGCAUGAGUGAAGCCAGAUAAAGUGGAUGGAUCCACUGACGGAUCCUUAGCAGCAACCCGGGUGGUUUUGGGGUACUGCUCAGGCGUCCAAUAUGAACCAUCAACGUUCAUUUUCCUCUCAAACCCAACACCCUCUUUCCUAGGGUUUCGGUUCAGAAUCUUUUUCUUGAGGACAUCACACAAGGUUUGAUGCCCUUUGAGGCUUUUGUACAUGCCAGUCUUAAGCAAUGUCUUCAACCUAGCAUUCUCAUCAACAAUAGUAGUGGCAUCCUCGGUAGAGGGGUUAGUUACCACAUCAGCAGUUGAAGAUAUUGCAACAUCAGAAGUAGUAGAACAUCCAGCAAUAGAGACAACAUUAUCACGCUCAAGACACUUUAAGCAUGGUGGAACAAAUUCUACCUGAGCGGAACUGGUCUGUUGGGCGAGUAGUGAAUCGUUCUCUUUUUGAAGAUCUUCAUGAGACACUCUCGGUUUCUCAAGAUCAUGCUUCCUUUGAAGAUAAUCGUAGGAAAGCUUCUCAUGAGAGGCUGAGAGAGUUUCAUGACGACUUUCAAGUUCUUCAUACUUAACAUGAAGACUUUUAAUGUCUUCGAUUAAGGACUGAGUUCGAUUCAUUUCCGCGUCCAACAGGUCAUCGCUUUUGUCUAGUAGCUUUUGAAUAUGUUCCAUAGCAGUUUGUUGCUCAGUUGAAAUUUUAGCAAGUGUCUUAUAGCUAGGUUUGGAUUCACGAGGUUACCUUGACACCACGUGCCAUGAGGCAGUAGGUUGGAUCAAAUGGCUCGGGUUCAAAAGUCAUCGUUUUAAGAGACUCCUUGAAUUUGCAGAACCACGGGUCUUGAUGGGUUUGAUGACCCUCAUAGACAUCAGAAAUCUGGUCCCAGAUAAGCUUCGCAUUGCAGAGAUGCAUGAUGCGCCUAAACUCAUCAUUGGACAGAUAUGAGCAUAUGAUAUCCUUAGUCGUGAUAUCCAGUUGAGUUUACUUUUUAAUGUCAUCAGCAUUCGCCAUCUUGCAUAAAUCGGUGAGACCAAUCUCCGUGACAGUCCACAGCUCACUGUUAAUUGCAAGGAGGCGCUUCCUCAUCAUUGCCUUCCAUAUGGGAUAAUCAUGACCAUCAAAAAUAGGACACGCAGCAGAGACUUUGAUUAUCCCUGCAGUCGACAUAGCUAAAAACUCUAGGUGGUUAAACCGAAUCACACAGAACAAGGGAGUACCUUGCUCUGAUACCAAUUGAAAGUGCUAGUUAUCAACUAGAGGGGGGUGAAUAGGCGAUUUUUAUGAAAGUCUUCAAAACAUGGUAGCUUUGAAGACAAACAAGUAAACAUAACCUAUAUAGUAAGCAGCGGAAUGAAGACUACACUAGGCAAGCAUUAGUCAAGCAUACAAUAUAGUGAAAGCACGAAGACUAACUGCAACUAGGUAGACAGGAUCAAUAUGGAUGAUAGUACGAAGCUAAACAGAUAUAAGUCUUCACACAAUGAAGUCAAACAAAUCAGGCAGGCAAGCAAUGACUACACGAAGACAAACGAAAAGGUAAGGAGAGUAGGGGAUAGAACCAGAUGCUUGGUGAAGACAAGGAUUUGGUAGACUAGUUCCAGUUGUUGUGACAAUUGUACGUCUGGUUAGGGAGGCUGAGACUGAACUCAGAAGACUGUGUCUUCACCUUAUUCCCCUUGAGCUAAGGACACCCAGUCCUCGCCCAAUCACUCUGAUAAGUCUUCAAGGUAGACUUCCAAACCUUCACAGACUUUGUUCACCGGCAAUCCACAAUGACUCUUGGAUGUUCAGAACGCGACGGCUAACCGGCUAGAGGAUUCACUCAAGUGUAACAAGUCUUCUGAUCACUCGGACAGAAAGACUUCAGUGAUGCCUAACACUUUAUGGCUCUGGGUGUUUUGGGCUUAGUCCUCGCAAGGAUCUCUCCCUCAAAUGCUUCAGAGGUGGGUUGCUCUCAAAUGACAGAAGUCGUGCACUAACUCUGAGCAGCCACCAAUUUGUGGUGUAGGGGGUGGGAUAUUUAUAGCCAGGAGGCAACCCGACCUGAUAUGUCCGAAAUGAUCCUGGGUCACUAAGGAACUGACACGUGUCCAACGAUUAGAUUUCAAACUCACGCGGCAGCUUGGCUUGGGCUACAAGAAAAGUUGACUCAUCCAGCUCUGGAUAAGGUUUGCUCUCAUUGUCUUCGCUCGAAGACAUAGGAUUUGGUUGAGCAUUACUUCAUCACUCUGACUUUGUUCACUUGGACCCCACUUAACAGUACGGUGGUUCAUAUGACUCAACAAAGAAUAAAGGAAACUACGAAACAGCUAUGUCUUCGCACUCCAUAGUCUUCAAGUGAAUAUCUUCACAUGUCAUAAUCUUCGUCGAGAAUGUCUUCACGAACCACCAUUGUCUUUAAUGUCUUCACACAUUUUUAGGGGUCAUCUCUGGUAGGUAAACCGAAUCAAUGAGGGACUACUACCUGUGUUAUCCUGCAAUUCUCACAAACACAUUAGUCCCUCAACCACGUUUGUCGUCAAUACUCCAAAACCAACUAGGGGUGGCACUAGAUGCACUUACAAUAUUUAGUCCCAACAGAAAUACAUGGUUGUAAGCAUUAAAACCCCAUGCCCAUACCUCUUUUUAUUAUAAGUGUUUCAUCACCAUUAGCUUGAUUGAUCCGGCCAAAAGCAGGAUUAUUUCUUUGACAGAAGCUUGCUAGAAACCAUCACUUCAGGGGGACCUUCCUCUCUCGGAUUCAAUAACCCAAUGUCACCUCUUUCGGGAAAUAGGUGUAGGGUACUUUCUGUUCCUUUACCGGAUCACUAAAAAGGGAAGUACCAUCCAGCAUGGUGCUCGGUAGGGCACGACGGCUUGUUUUGCAUCCUGUGGUCCUACGUUCGGUCGGCCAUUGAUGGAUCUGAUGCCUCAUGCUAGAGCUUAGCCACCGCUGGCCUCUAUGAGGUGCGGUUGGCUGCGGCAGAUCUCGGUGCUUCUUCAUCGGCAAGCGGGUUUGAUAGUGGUGGUUGGUGGUCUUGCCAGUGCUGGUGCUUGUUGAUAUGUGGCGGAGGAUGUGUUGGGGGCUUGGGUGAAGGCUAAUGCCCUUCGGGAUCCGGUCCAAAUAGCUACCUUUUACCUAAGGAGUGACCCUAGGUUAUCGAACCCACGAGAGGAUGUGCACUACGACUGAGAGUCAAACAAGUUAUUGUUGUUGAAUUAAAUUCUAGUUUUUAACCAGACCUUUAACAACCUUUUUGGAAGUAGACACUGGUAUGAAAUAGGCAUGCGUAUGAGGUCUUACUCUCACAACCUUAUAGUUGUGAUUGGGAUCUCAUCUUGAUAAUAAACAUAGCUCUGUAAGAUUACCAUUGCGGUGUGUUUGCUACGCGAUGAAGUGGGGAUGCGUCCAAAGAACGUCUUGACCGGUCACGACCUGCAUCAAAAGUUAGUUGUCCAACUGGUGGCCCUUACCGUCGCGUGGGGUUACCUUGGUUAAUUAUUAAGAAUUACUUCAAACAAGAGCAUUGCGCGUUUAAGGACCACACCUCAUUUAUCCCCAAGGAAUUGAUUCUCGCUAUCGUACUAAUCCCUUCUCUCACUGUUGUUCAGAAUAGCGUUCCCCGCAUCCUCGCUUCUUACCUCCUCUUGAUCGAUAUACGAGUCAUGGGUACAUGUAGGGCCUUAGAAACUCCGUUGAAAUCAAACACAUACAAAUAACCUCAAAUACACGAAGUCAUUCCAAAGACCUCUGUGCACAAAUACAUUCAGUUGCAAGGCCUUGCCUCAACUCAUUGCCUUACCGAAUUAGUCCUACAUGACAAUCAGAUCGCAAGAUGAACUCAUUGAAGACAAGAUGAAGAUGAAUGAUUGGUUUUAUAAUACGUCUUGCAAUAGUUGUUAGUUGCAAUACACCGAUUGCAAGUAUGACUAACUUGGAGAGAAUGGUUGCACCGAUGAAGGUGGUGGCGGCUAUAAAAGUGAGAUUGGAAAUGGCGACGUCUAUGGUUGGAAGAUGACUUCUAGUUCUCUAUUUCACGAAUGGUGGCUCUCACGUUGAGAUUCUUGCAUGGACCCCCAUUAUAGAAGUUGGUGAGGUAGACGCCCUUGAGUCGACGGCAUAUGUGGUACGAGCGUGCGCGCUCGUACCGUGUUGCCUUCUUCUCUACACUUCUUGUUUCCUCCUAUAUGAUGAUAUUCUUUCAUAUUUGAACCCAUUUCUUGUGGGAACACAUUAAUAAAGGAUUCACUUUCCUUACAUUCAUUAGUCAAUAAUAUCAAUAUCAGAGUGAUUCUCUCGACAGUAAAGAUGACAAGGGGAGCGAUGUAGGAGAUGCGACAAAGGUUGAUGUAGUCGGCUCUUCUCCAACGUGUCGUGGGAUGGCCUCGGUUUGUUGUUGUCAAGUCUUAGCAGGGUGGGAUGGCCUCGGUUUGUUUUUGUGAAGUCUUAACAGGGCCCGGUGGCAUACGGAUGACAAGCCUUGCCGUUCUCCGUUUUGAUGAUCUUCCACGGGGUCAGUCAGCCUUGCCUGGAGAGUUGCGCUAUCAUAUAUCCAAACGGCCCUCUAAGAAGUGAUGACAACGCUGCCGAUGCAUUGUAUGUCGACGCAUUGUCCCAACAAGGCCCUCAAAGUUUGUGCCACUCUGGCGGUCUGCUGAUGGUAUUUUUUGUUAAUUAACUAAGCAACUCUCUUUUGCUUUCCUUUGCAGAAAAAAAUGCUGGCAAGGGUAAGAAAAAACUAGCCAACUUAAACUGACUGCUAAGCACAGUUUUCAGAAGCGUGCAGUUGAUCAUGAAAAAGAAAACAACCAACCAAGUGGACGCCCUAGUCUGAGAAGGUGGGUCACAUCUCGCUUGUGCAAAUAUUAGAGCACGGAUAGCAGAAGGCAAAUCAGAAUCCACAGUAAAUCUCAGGCAAAAAAAGGGUGAGAGAAUAACAUAACAGAACAUCAUCGCACCAAGUACAAAGAUAAUCCUUGACUAAACAGCCAACAGAACUGAAUCCAAAGUAUCGUCUAAACUGCAAAAUCCCAGAUGAUUCACUAGGACAAAACACUAGUAGCAACUUAUGCUUCAGUCUGCUCCCUCAAGCGACGGAUAGUGCUCCUGACAGUGACCGCACUGGCAGUGCUGCAAACACAUAUUGCAAGAUCAGCAAAGUUGGGCAAAUAAUUUUGAAAGAAUAAGAAGCAGAUGAUGAGAACAUACUUCAUGGUGUAAGCACCGCCAGCCUUCACCUUCCCACAGUCCUUGCAUCCCCAAAUUCCAACUGCUUUCCUCUUCACAGCAAACUGGUAAGAGUAUACAGUAAACGGAGUAUCAAGACAAAGGACUUUUAGGAUAUAUAACAAAAAUUAAAGCACUGGUAGCAAAUGGAGUAACAAACAGUUACAGAACAGAUUGCUGUGAUCAAACUACUCUACAGUUGGGAACAUGCAGUAUAUGGUGAGAUGUCCAAACCAGAUAAAUGUCCCUUUUGUUUCUAUGAUGGAACUAUACAAACUAACAAACUGGAACAUAAAUAAAUAAAUGUAUCAUUCACAUAGCCUUGCAAAAUGAUACUACCAAAAAGCAUACAAGAUAUUAUAUAUAGGUAUAGCCUAGCUCAAGAUAUGAACUGAAGUUCAAGAUGGACACAGAAAAAUAAUGCUGCCAUAGGAGAAAACUGUAAACAAUGAAAACAACAUAUCAUGAUGAACAUCAACAAGCAUCGGAAUAUGGGCC
rnacentral:lncRNA from 1 species